GAUGAACGCUGGCGGCGUGCCUAAUACAUGCAAGUCGAGCGAACGGACGAGAAGCUUGCUUCUCUGAUGUUAGCGGCGGACGGGUGAGUAACACGUGGAUAACCUACCUAUAAGACUGGGAUAACUUCGGGAAACCGGAGACAAUAACGGAUAAUAUUUUGAACCGCAUGGUUCAAAAGUGAAAGACGGUCUUGCUGUCACUUAUAGAUGGAUCCGCGCUGCAUUAGCUAGUUGGUAAGGUAACGGCUUACCAAGGCAACGAUGCAUAGCCGACCUGAGAGGGUGAUCGGCCACACUGGAACUGAGACACGGUCCAGACUCCUACGGGAGGCAGCAGUAGGGAAUCUUCCGCAAAGGGCGAAAGCCUGACGGAGCAACGCCGCGUGAGUGAUGAAGGUCUUCGGAUCGUAAAACUCUGUUAUUAGGGAAGAACAGAUGUGUAAGUAACUGUGCACAUCUUGACGGUACCUAAUCAGAAAGCCACGGCUAACUACGUG
rnacentral:rRNA from 1 species